rfam:Gossypium raimondii chromosome 1, whole genome shotgun sequence.
GAUGCUUUGGCCGAGUGGUUAAGGCGUGUUCCUGCUAAGUACAUGGGUCUUCCCUGCGAGAAUUCGAAUCUUUCAGGCGUUG